AAAGACCUGGCCGCGAAUAACUAUGAGAGAUGUCGAUCACACCUGCACAAAGUCUGUUGCUGCAAUUGUUUUUCUACCUGUAUAAAACCUUUAAUGGAAAUGAUAAAGCCUACAUUAAUCCACCCUAACCAAAGUUUCUAUUUUUAUCUCUAAAGGGAGGGGUGGAUGCCAUAGCGACUGAGGCCAACAGGACAAGAUGACCUAAUCAGCUGGUGUCAAGCAUGUGAAGUCAUCGGGUAGUGGAAGGUAAUAUCAACUUCAAUCACACCGCCAGUCGCGAUCGCCGAGAAACAGGUUUGAAAUAUUUCUUCUCACAAAUGUGAGACUAUCUUUUUCUAGAUUACAAGAAUCUUCGAAACGAAAGAUCUUACAUUAUCAUGUCUAGUUGAAAAUGUGUCCUCCUUUCGUACAGUUUGUUCAGAUUAUUGUUUACUAAAUAAUAGCAACAUGCCGACACUGAUUCAAAAUGGCGGACCACCUUGCAGCUUCUGAUAAUGAUAUUACAAACUAAUUAUUUUUCUAAAACACAGAAAGCUAACACUUAAACCAGUUCUUAAAAGAAUUUCCAUCUAAUAUCCCUUACACAGUUUAACUACUUCAAUUUAGGAAUCUGUUUUCAUAUUUUUUGUGCCGAUCAAAUGAAGAAAUCGCGGUUGAACAGAAAGAUAAAAUAUAGUCUUGCUCAUGAAAUUUUACAACAGCUUAAAGUUAAACAAAUCUUUUGGCCUUUAUGAGACAGACAACAAUGCACGUAACAAUCUGCUAUUAUUGUUUCUUCACUUUAUGUUUUGAUUUUUGUAUCUCACCUGUUCAAAUCUCUAUUUGAGCCCGAAACCGUGUGUUAAAUUGUUUUGACUUUUGUUGCUUCUGAGUAUAACUUCAAUAAAAGUGUUAUUCACCACGCUGUUCUGUGCCAUUAUAUUUUUCCAGUUUAUUUAAAGGGUCUCAAAAAUUCUGCCGAGCCAAGUCAAUCACAAUCUCUGUAAUAUGCACACUACAUGGGAGAAAGCUAUCUGAAGUGGCCCCUACAAUAAAUGUUGAAGCGAUUUGGGUCCGCCUACCCUGGAGUGAUCCACGUAUAAAUAAUCGCUUUAGCCGCUACUUGCGGGUAGCAAAUAUACCCAGAUUAACAAGCUGUACAAACGUGCUUCAUGAAAGAAAAAGGUUUUUAAAAUUACUUCGAUGUUUAUAACCUGCAACUAUGUAAAAUUAGCAGUCAUGGGCCCUGUACUGACCGUGCAAGGUGCUAAUCAACAAGUCCAAUUUAUUACACGCUUGUACGGCUGUUGAGCCUUUCAGUUUGCAAACAGUUUAAAAUCAGAGGCACAUCUAAAAACUCUGCGGCUACAUACUAUGUUGCGUAGUUGAGCGUUCAACAGGUCGAAAACUUCGACAAUAAGAAAGCAGACGAAAGCAAAGAUAACCCCGUGACCUGACGGUGGUAGAGGAGCGAGGUGGUGAAAGACUGUCUUAUCUCAGGGUCACCUUUACUCAUUUCCCGUGGUACCUGUCUCAUAAACCUGUAGUACCCACCCCACAACUGUCACUAGGCUGUCCACUUUCUCCUAGCUACAAUCAGUAUAUUUACUAUAAACAGCUGGUCAAUGAUCAUCAAUGAUCAUCAAUCACCAUCAAUCGUCAUCGUCAUUAAUCAUCGUCAGCGUCAUUAGUACUGACCGUACUAAGAAGGCCUGUCAUUGGAGUCAAUCUUGAGCACCUCUUAAGUUGGUCCCCCAUCUGGCAUCAUGACCUGUCUCCCUCCAAUGUUUCCUUUCCUACUACCACGUCCUCUUUCCACCUACUCCUGUAAUACUGUCUUCGAUAAGUCAUGCCGAGCGACGUGGCCGAGCCAAACCCCCUUUCGACGCUUGAUGGUUGCGAGUAGAUGCUCCGGGAGGCCCACCAGAGUGGCGACCGCACAGCGUAUGAAAUAAUUUGUUUUGUAUUCCUUCAAACCAGUCUCAUGAAGGAUCCAGUUCACUAUUAAACCGACCUUCAACAGCCGAGUUCUCAUCGAAAAGCAACGGCAUCACGGGUAAGAUCUUAUUGUAGAAAUCGUGUUUAAAAGUAUAAAUAAAAGACCGUCCUUGGCAACAAAGGUGCAUGUGUAUGAAUUGAUGGCUCACCAUGGCGUUGAACACCGUACGAAGACUUUGAAGAAUAAUAUUUGACAAAAUGUCGUGUCGCUCCCGAUGACAUGGCCAGACCAGACCAGUUUCACUGUUGAAAGUAGUUUCUGGUGUCCUACGAGUGUAGCGUCCGUGCUUCGUACAAAAUCGUUGGUUUGAUAUUCUCUGUACGAGAGAUACGGAGCAGCCUCCUCUUGCACUUGUUCUCGAGUGUCUGAAUUCUCCGCCUUGGCAAUCAACAUCCACAUUUCACAUCUGUAAAGCAGUAUCGAAACUGUGAGCGAAAGGAAGAACGAGAACUGCGGGCUUACACACUUCCUUUCCUUCAAAUAAAGCCGAAAGUUUAAAUCCCUUGGAAACAUCUUUCAUCACAAUCACGGCCUGUGACGGAUUUGAAAAUAACCAAACGUUACCAAACAACGAUGAAGAAUUUUCGACAGUUCAUCGGAAUUUGCGGAUUCAAGAUGCUUUUGGCUUUUCUAGGACUCCUGACUGUGUUGUACCUACUGACUUACAGCUCAACAAACAUCCUGAAGUUUCGUCAACUGAUCUCAACAGUCUGGUCACAACGCACUUCAGACCAAAACGUUACAACAGCUUACUACUUACUUCAGUGGCAGUCAAAUUAUACACUAAAACAUUCUAGCACUAACUCCACGUUUAAGUACAAUGGGACAGCUACUCAAAGACCGUGUUGCCGAGAACAUUCUUCAACAACAUAUUACCUACGUCACUUCCGAUCGAGAUUUAUAGUUGAUCCUACCAGCCAUCAACUGACGCUUGAUCAAAGGAACCUCCCUGAUUUAUCCUUCUCUAAAGUAAGGACUGACAGUAGAGCCUCUGCUGUUAACAAUAAGUUGAUUGUAUGGUAUAACAUGCCUGAGUGGAUGAAAAGAAGGUCGAAUGCUGAGGUGUUUGACCACUGUCCAGUCAGCACGUGCAAGUUGUCCACAAACUAUAGUGCGGAUAGAGCCGUUGGCGACGCUGUGGUGUUUCACGACGCUCCAUCACACAAGCCAGUGCCACCUCGAGCUUUUCCUGACCAGGUGUACGUCUUCUUCAUGUUAGAACCGCCGCCGAUUGCUGGAUCUGCGUAUCGAAACACACCGUGGAACUCAGUUUUCAAUUGGACAUGGACCUACAGGAAGGAUGCCGAUAUAAAGAAGACAUACUUCCUUCUGGAGCGUUCUCGACAGUUGCCAAAUAUUAGUUUCCUAAAAGAUUUAGUUCGAAGGAAGGAAAAGCCUGCAGCAUGGUUUGUUUCUAACUGCCAUCAGGACCAAGCCCAACGACUACGCUACGUUGAGAGACUGAAGGAAGUUCUCCCUGUGGACGUAUAUGGACGAUGUGGGACUCUGCACUGCACAACCUGGGCUAAAGAAUGCGACACCAUGCUUACCAAGUACUUUUUCUAUCUUUCCUUCGAGAACUCCUUUUUCCAGGAUUACGUGACAGAGAAGUUUUCUCGAGCCUUCUUGAAGGAUGUGUACGUGGUUCCUGUUGCGCGCGGUGGGCUGAACUACUCUCACCACUUUCCUGAAGGAACUUUUAUUAACGCCGAUGAUUUUAACAGCCCAGAAGAACUGGGGAUGUAUCUGAAAAAGCUUAUGAUGGACGAAGACGCCUACAUUGACAUGUUGUGGCGAAUCGCUCAUUUUAUCAUCGAAUCUUACGAUGAUCCUGCCCAGUUCUCGUGGUGCCAGCUGUGUGACAAGCUACACAGGCUGCAGGACAAUGCCAAGACGUAUCCAGACCUCUUUGAAUGGUACCACAGUGGUAAAUGCCGACCGCCAAGGCAAUUCUAGCGAUUACAUGAUCGAACAGUGUGUGGCAUGUGUGAAUGAACGAGCGACGUGGACUCUACUGCUUAUUUCAUUCGUUUAGACAACUGGUCAGAGUCAACAGGCAGCUAAACUACUCGACCUUUUCAUCGUCAAGUGACGUCUCGACCAAAGCAAACAGAUGACAGACAGAAAUGCCAUCGUUGACAGAUAUUAAUGCUAAUAAAUUAGUCGCUAGUAUCAUUAUUUUUACUUUUAAUUAACUGGUCUUCACAUCGGACGUUGUUAAUGUCCUUUCGAGUUUGUUAGUGGUUUGGUGAUAUUUUCUAUAUUCAAGACUGCAGUUUCGGAAAUACAACUGUUGGUACACAAGCAACAACGAAGCUGAACCCUCCGACGCCAUUUUACUCAUGACGUAAAACUUGAAUGACGACAGAUGGGUACAAUAAUAGCCAAAGGAAACAGAAAGUUCUCGAAAGAUCAGUCGAUGUGCAGCAAGAGAGGGAGAAAGAGGGAGAGGUCUGCGCCAGCAACUUGAUUUCAUCACAAGCACGAUCUGCGAAGGGUUUGAAAAAAAAUUGUUUACCUAACAACAGCGAUGGUGAAUCUUCGCAAGUUCACCAGAACUCGGAGACACAAGAUGUGUUUGGUUUUUCUGGUACUCCUGAUUGCGUUGUACGUGGUGACUCUAAUCAUCCUGAUAUUUAGUCCAAUGCCCAUGAUAAUCGCACCACAACACAGCCACAGUUCAUCGACAACACAUUACUUACGUAACUUCCGCUCGAUAUUUAUACUUGAUGUUGCAAAUCAUGACCUGGCGCUUGAUCGUCAAGGGAAGCCCCUUAGUAUAUCCUCCUCUGACGUAAGGAAUCACAGUAGAGCCUCUGUUGUUAACAAUAAAUUGAUUGUAUGGUACAACAUGCCUGAGUGGAUUAAGAGAGGGUCGGAUGCUGAGUUGUUUGGCCACUGUCCAGUCAGCACGUGCAACUUGUCCACAAACUAUAGUGCGGAUAGAGCAGCUGCCGACGCUGUGGUGUAUUACUGCGCUCCAUUACAGAAACCAGUGCCACCUCGAGCUUUUCCUGACCAGGUGUAUGUGUACUUCAUGUUAGAACCGCCGCCGAAACUUUGGUUUCCGAGGCCAAAAAUAUCAUGGAGUUCAGCUUUCAACUGGACAUGGGGUUACAGGCAUGACGCAGAUAUAAGAACGACAUACUUUUAUCUGGAACAUUCCAAGCAGUUGCCAAAUAUUAGUUUCCUAAAAGAUUUAGUUCAAAAGAAGGAAAAGCCUGCGGCAUGGUUUGUUUCUAACUGCCAUGAGGACCAAGCCCAACGACUACGUUAUGUUGAGAGACUGAAGGAAGUUCUCCCUGUGGACGUAUAUGGAGCGUGUGGGACUCUGCACUGCACAACCUUGGCUAAAGAAUGCGACACCAUGCUUACCAAGUACUUUUUCUAUCUUUCCUUCGAGAACUCUUUUUGCCAGGAUUACGUGACAGAGAAGUUUUCUCGAGCCUUCUUGAAGGAUGUGUACGUGGUUCCUGUUGUGCGCGGUGGGCUGAACUACUCUCACCACUUUCCUCAAGGAAUUUUUAUCAACGCCGAUGACUUUAGCAGCCCAGAAGAACUGGGGAUGUAUCUGAAAAAAGCUGAUGAACGACGAAGACGCCUACAUUGAAAUGUUUGUGGCGAAUCGCUCACUUUGUCGACUUGGACUCUUACAAAAACCCAUACUACUACUCGUGGUGCCAUCUGUGUGACAAGCUACACAGGCUGCAGGACAAUGCCAAGACUUAUCCAGACGUCUAUGGAUGGUACCACAUUGGGAUGUGCCGACCGCCAAGGAAAUUCUAGAGCUUGGUACAGUUCGUGGCCUACACUGGUUAUCGUGCGAUGUGGUCACAACUUUUUUCUUUUAUUCGUUCAGACGGCUGAACAGGCAGAUGUACAACUCGACCUUUUCAUCAAAUAUAAAUAACAAAUGGGCAAAAGCAAGGCGCAAUAUCUUUUUUCUAUUUCUUUACAAGCUGCACUCAUUACCAGCAUUUCAAAUAGGAAAGAAAAAUGAUGUUGCCAUUGAUCAAAGGGAAAAAACUCAAGAAAUAACGAUUCAUCGCGACAACCGCCAAUUUACUUCCCUUGGAAUAUGAAGCGAGCAUUACCGUCUACUUUGCUUAAUCACAUUUUUUGCUAUGAAACCGUCUUAAAUUUUUUUUUUUUAUUUUAACGAAUUUCCCUACUUGUGGCCUCAAACUGUUUUAAGAAAGUACUUUUACUUGCUUUAAGGCUAUCGAAAUUAGCAAUCAUUGAUACACUUCUCUUGAAGAUGACAAAGAAUAUAAAAUAAAAGAAAUUGAAGUGUCA